AGCAAGUCUCCUCCUCGAGGCCUCUCCUUCAGGACUCAGAGAGUAUUCGGGUUCAUGUACAUGAGUGCGAGGAGGAACUUCUUUUGAGUUUUCUUCUUUUACUAAUUUUACUAGAAAACAGAUGUCCCUGUUUAGAAGGAUCUGCAUAGGGUCUUGCCAGACCUCCUGGAUGCCAUGCUGGGGAACCUGUUUGCAGAGCCCCCAGACACCGACAGGAUCCACUACAUCUUGGAGGUGAGUCCGAUGAGAGGGACGGGGACAAUUUUACCCUAACUCUUAGAUCCAUUUUCCAGUCUGUCCUCCUAGCUGGGUCCCCAGUGGCAGUGAGUGCAAUGCAAUGUCAGGCCCUUCCUCCUUGAAGGACAGAGGAAGGAGCUGGGACUUCAAGCCAGAGCUCUGUUUGGUUCUGUUGCGCACUAACCUCAGGGCUCCUGGCUGGCUUGGGGAGUGAGAGUCUGAACCCCUCUUGUGAGAUGCAGAAAAUGGUCCUCAGAGAAGAGCCACAGGCUCCUUCCUAGAGAAACAGAAGAACCCCAGAGAAUCAGCCCUUCUCUCCAACAGACCCUGAGAUUCCUGGGGGGAUUGUGCUCACACUCAGUCCCUUCAUCCAAUCAAGGACUUGAGAGCCAGGGACGGGGGAGGGGUCUGUCUCCUUCCUGGUGAGCUGUUCUGGAAUCAGGAGUUCAGGGAGGAUGGGACCAGCCCCGACACCGAACACUGUUCCACUCUAGAGAGACAAUGACAAGUUGUGACCUGCAGAAUGGAAGCAUCGUCCUGGGGGCAACAAUCCCCUUCUAAAGCUCUGCAAUCAAUGAAUCAGAUAUUCCACCCUGCGCACACUGUCUCAGCCCCCUGGAGGCUGGGGAGGGGUGUGUGUCAUUUGCACAAUACGUGCACCUGCCCAUUCAUCCUUAGCUGCCUCCUUUCCCCACAGUACAUUAACUACUGGAUCGUGUCCAGGGUGUCGCAGGAGAGAGCCAGGGCCAUUAGGAGCAGCACGGCCCUGCUCAGAUUCACCAUCACCCUCCCUGAGUUUGACAACUCAGCAGAAUUCCCCAGGCUGGGUCACCAUGUGGCACAGCUGGCUCUGUUCAUCAGUGACCCAGGCAAGGACCUAAGCCGGCAGGCCAGGGAGGGAGUUUACCGGCUCUACCAGCUGCUGCUGCACCAGAGGGGUAAUGAGCCCAGCUGGGAAAUGGCUCCUGAUAGAAGAGUAAGACUGGGACCCCAGCCAAUUUCUCUCAGUCUGAGCCCGGCUGGAGGAUGUCUCUCUGUCUGUCUCUUUCUCUGUUCUACACCCUUCCCCUGCAAUUCUGCUGGACCAGGCACGCAGCGAGGACUCUGCCCACUGUGCAGCCACCAAUGGGAUUGGAAGGACACAGUCACUGAAACCAGAAUGCCAAAUGCGUGUGUGUGUCUGUUUCCCAGGGCUAUCCAUCCAGGAGGCCUAAGAGCUGUGGUGCUGGGACAGCAGGCUCCUGGGCUACAGGAACACGGCCAGGGUGGGGGAGGUCUUUGGCAAGUUCUUCUCAGAGAGGCAGAGAAGAUUUUUCCUUCGGACGGAGGGCAGUGCUGGCCAUCCACGAUCUCCUGCUGCGUGUCAGCCAGGCUGGGCUGCUCCUCGUCUACUCCCUCCUGGGGGAAGCCCAGCAGCUGAUGGGGGACAAGAAGCUCAUUGAGGAGCUGACUGAUAACUCUCCACCCGGCAGCGUCCUCGCUAACUCCCUGAUUACUGUGAGCAACCUCAGCUCCCUGACACCUGCCCUUGAGCCAGAGCUAAAGACCCACCUCCUUCGAGCUGCCGUGUUCACCCUGGGCACCCAGAAGGACACCCCCCAAGUCCAGCAGGAGGACGUCACGGCCAAAGUGAUGCACCAGCUCCACAUCAUCUGGCACUUGCCCCAGGUGCCUGAGGCACUGCAGGGGCUGUACCUCUGAGGCCACCAGAAACUUCCACCCGCUCCCUGCUGCAGGCCCUGGGAUCUGGCACAGCCUCCCAGACUGGCGCAGCCUGCAGAUGAGCCACCUCCGGGAGCAGUGGGGACACAUCACCUCGUCCCAUCAAAGCAAGCAAUGGUGGGUCUCAGAGAGGCUAGAUGGAAGACCCCACUCCCUCCUGGAGGAAGGGGCUCCCCAGAGAUGUCCUCAAACAUGGACUACUACGAGCAUUUCCGCUGGGAGGCUCCAGCCCCUUGGGCAUGAAGAGAGCAUCAGGCUCUGAACAAGGCCUGCCCAGACCCAUGGAUGCCAUGCUGAAGAGCUCGCUGACAGCAACCCCCAGCACAGACAAUCUCCAGCACAUCUUGGAGGCCUCAACUGAAGUAUUGUGUCCGAUUCUGGGCACCGCAUUUCAAGAAAGAUGUGGAGAAAUUGGAGAGGGUCCAGAGAAGAGCAACAAGAAUGAUUAAAGUCUUGAGAAAAUGACCUACGAAAGAAGGCUGAAAGAAUUGGGUUUGUUUAGUUUGGAAAAGAGAAGACUGAGAGGGGACAUGAUAGCAGUUUUCAGUUACCAAUCCAUGAGAGGACCUUAUGAUGUACCUGUCUGGCACAAUAAUUCUGCACUGAAUCAGCUCUGUCCCAGCCUCUCACAGAGAUGUAUCCUGCAGCCAGCCCAGCUCAGGGAGCAGUGGGGACAAGUGAUCUCCUCCUGUCAGACCAAGCAACAUGGGUCUCAUUGAGGCUCAGAUGGAAGAUCCCAAUGGGAUCCAGGGAUCAUCCUAUGCAUCUCCUGGAGGUAAGAACUGUCGACUCUUCGUGCCACUUGGGGCUCUUGCAACAAACAAGGGGCUCCUGCUACAUAUCCUGGUUGGGAGCUUUCGCUAUCCUUGGAUCCCAGCCCUGGUACAGAGACCUAUUUCUCAUCAUGAUAUCCUCAUUUUAUUCUCAGAGGAUGUGUCCAGGAUCCUGGAUAAUGUUUUCUGCAGGAGGUUUGAAUGGGGAGAGAUCACUCACUGUCAUGACCCAGAGGCCUUCAACCCAGGGCUGUAGGGUUCAUGGAAGCAGCCACACUCCAACCCUCCACCUGGAAGCCUGCUGAAAAUUGCUUACCUAGGACCCAUGAAGUUCAGCCCCAGUCAGAGGCUCCGCUCCUGAGGUUCUAGUGGAGGGGUCCCAGAGAAGCUAAUUGGCCCUCUGGCCCUGCUUAAGGCAGCAGCAGGAAAAGGAAGCUGACUGAACACCAGGGCUGCUCCCUGUUCUGGACCGUGUGCUGCUGGUUUCUGCUGCUGCUCCCCUGGCUUGAUUUCCUGGCAUCUGAUUUGUGGUUUUGAUUGCAAGUUUCUCUUGUGCUUCUGAUCUUCCAGUAUCCUGACCCAGCUGAUUCCCAACUGACAUCCAUCCAACGAAGUGGGUAUUCACCCAUGAA